UGGAGAUGACGCGCCAGGAGGAACGGCGCGCGCCCACCACGUUCUUGUAGGCCACAGAGAGCAGGUUCCUCUCCUCGUUGGAAAGGGCCUCGUUCAGCUCUGUUACCUGAGAGACAGGGAGGAGGCGGAGAGCGUUGUUCACAGUGUUGAUGAACUUGCAACAUAUCUACACUGGAAGUGAUCGAGUUUGCACAUCAGUGGAUGUAUGUGCAGAGUCGGGGUUUGGUGAAUGAAGAUGGGCUGCGCUUAUGUCUUUUCUUCCUGGUGGAGCCUAUUAGCCUUUUCAUUUCUCUCUCCUGAGUCCUGGCCUGCCCUUUCCUCACUG